rnacentral:rRNA from 1 species
AGCGAAGCGGGAAGAGCUCAAAUUUAUAAUCUGGCACCUUCGGUGUCCGAGUUGUAAUCUCUAAAAUGUUUUCCGCGCUGGACCGCACACAAGUCUGUUGGAAUACAGCGGCAUAGUGGUGAGACCCCCGUAUAUGGUGCGGACGCCCAGCGCUUUGUGAUACAUUUUCGAAGAGUCGAGUUGUUUGGGAAUGCAGCUCAAAUUGGGUGGUAAAUUCCAUCUAAAGCUAAAUAUUGGCGAGAGACCGAUAGCGAACAAGUACCGUGAGGGAAAGAUGAAAAGCACUUUGGAAAGAGAGUUAACAGUACGUGAAAUUGUUGGAAGGGAAACGCUUGAAGUCAGACUUGCUUGCCGAGCAAUCGGUUUGCAGGCCAGCAUCAGUUUUCCGGGAUGGAUAAUGGUAGAGAGAAGGUAGCAGUUUCGGCUGUGUUAUAGCUCUCUGCUGGAUACAUCUUGGGGGAUCUGAGGAACGCAGUGUGCCUUUGGCGGGGGUU